GGUAGUAACAAUUAUUUAAAUUAUAACUUUGAAGGCCAAAGAGGGGAAAGGUUCCAUGUGAGCGAUACUUGCACUUGGGUUAGUCAAUCCUAAGAGACGAGAGAAGCUCGUCUGAUAGCCCAUUACACAUGAACUUCAAGAGGGAAUAGGGUUAAAAUUCCUCAAGUGGCACAUGGUGGCUAACGGCAACGUUAGGAACUCUGAAGACACCGGUGAAGGCCUCGAGCAGAGUUAUUUUUUACUGUUUAACAACCUGCCCAACCAGGAAACGGCUCAGCAAGACGUAGGGUCCAGUGGCUGCAACAGCACCCCAGGUUGCGUGGUGUCCAGUGAACCCUCGACUGCCCAUGAAAAUCCAAUGGACCGAGUGCCUCUCACUGCCGGUUGUACUCAUAACCACAUCAGGUCUCCAAGGUGAACAACCUCUAGUC
rnacentral:ncRNA from 1 species